CAAGAGCCAUAACUCUCGCUCCCAACUCCACCCUCUCCGCCGUCGACAGCCGUUCGAUCGACAAGGCCAGGUGAUUUGCGGCCCAGAACGGGUUUCCGGACUCCGUCAAGAUCUACGGUAGCUAUGACGCGGUACUCGACGAUCCGUCCGUCGACGCCGUGUACGCGCCUCUCCUGACCAGCCUGCACGUGCGGUGGGCGGUGUCGGCAGCUGAGAGGAAGAAGCACGUGCUGCUGGAAAAGCCGACGGCCCUGAACGUGGCGGAUCUGGACCUGAUAUUGGAUGCUUGCUGGUCGAGUGGGAUCCAGUUCAUGGAUGGCACGAUGUGGAUGCACCACCCGAGGACACAGAUGAUGGAGGAGGCGCUCUCCGACACAACGCGUUUCGGGCAGCUCAGAUCGGUAAUAAAUUCUAAAUUUUCGCCUCACGUGGCACACACGUAAUAGAUCCGGACCGUUUAUCUGCUGUGAAAUACUCUGGAUUGAGAUCCUUCCUAAAAUACACCAGACAUUUGAUCCUGGCCACUGAUUGGAUAAUUUAUGGCGAUCGGGCGGUCAGAAAAAAUCGAUGCAAUGGUCAAGAUAAGUGUUACAAAGAUCAUCUAACGGCUGAUUCAUAUUUUGUCUCUGGUAAUGGUGUCCUCUAUGGGUCGGCUCCAAUAGUAUUGAGUUUGGACUGUGUUGUGUGCCUUCAACUAGUAUGUGAGGAUGAAGAAACGAAUAAGGGAAAAGUGCAAUGCCCUUUAUCCUCGGCUCGUAUAACUUUAAGAAAGCGCUGCCAAGUGAAGGGAUUGAACAAAGAGGCCAACGCCGCAAGAUAGCCACAAUGACUACUCAUUUCAAUCCCUUGAUACACGAGCCCGAAGCGCUCGUGUCCCUUAUCAAGAAAUGCGGGUCCCUCAGGGAACUGAAGCCCAUCCAGGCCCACAUGGUACGGACUGGUCUGGACCAUGACCCUUUUCUCACAAGCAAGCUCAUCGAGUCCACGGCCAUCACCCUAACCGGCCACGUUUCCCAUGCCCAGCUCAUCUUCUCCAGGGCCCACCAACCAAACACCUUCAUGUGGAACACCAUGAUCAGGGGUCACUCUCUCACCGAUGCUCCACUUAACUCCCUCUCUCUAUACCAGCGUAUGCACUCGAGUGGGGCUCAAAUCAACAGCUACACGCUCGCGUUUGUGCUCAAAGCGUGCUGCCGCUUGCUGAGGUUGGAAGAAGGGAGGCAGAUCCAUGGGCAGAUCACGAAGAUGGGCCACGAUUCUGAAGUGCCCAUGAUCAACGGCCUGAUUCGGUUGUAUGUGAGCUGCGGGCGCGUCGAUUCUGCGAGGCAGGUGUUUGAUGUAAUGGCUGAGAGAGAUUCCAAUUCGUGGAGCGUCCUGAUUGCUGGGUACGCGCAGAAUGGUGGCCCACAUGAGGCGCUUGCUCUUUUUAGGGAAAUGCAGAUCUCAGACGUUGAUAUUGAUGGGUUCACCCUAGCCAGCGUUGUGGGCGUUUGUGGGGAGUUGGGGGCCUUGGACUUGGGCAAAUGGGUGCAUUCUUACAUUGAUAGGAAGGGCGUGGAAAUAGAUGUUGUUUUGGGGAAUGCUCUGGUGGACAUGUACGCGAAAUGUGGGCUAUUGGAUAAGGCCCAUAGGGUUUUUCAACGGAUGGAUGAGAAGGAUGUUUUUGUGUGGUCCACCAUGAUCGGAGGGUAUGCCAUACAUGGGUAUGGCAAGAAAGCUCUGCAAGUGUUUGCAGACAUGAUAAGUGCCAACGUAAGGCCCACUUGUGUCACAUUCACCAGCGUGUUGUGUGCAUGCAGCCACUCGGGACUGAUUGACGAGGGCCGCCGAUGCUUUGACAGCAUGCGGUCCGAGUACAGGAUCGAGCCCCAGAUCGAGCACUAUGGUUGCAUGGUCGAUCUCUUCUGCCGGGCGGGCUGCAUCAACGAAGCGCAUGACUUCAUUUCUAGCAUGCCGAUCGAGCCAAACGCGGUGCUGUGGCGAACAUUGCUUAGUGCUUGCAAGGCCCGUGGCCACACAGAGCUUGGAGCCUACAUAAGCAGGAAGCUGCUUGAGCUUGAUCCUAAGAGUGGCGAGAAUUACGUGCUGGUUUCUAACAUAUAUGCUUCGCUUGGGAGAUGGUCUAGUGUAAGUAAGAUUAGGACUUUGAUGAAGAAUAGGAAGGUGAAGAGAAGGCAUGCUUGGAGCUCUAUAGAGGUGAAUUUCACACUCCAUGAAUUUGUGAUGGGAGACGACUCACACCCAGAAAGCAAUGAGAUAUAUAGGAUGGUGGAUAGGAUGGCCAGGAGGUUGAGAGAGGCAGGACACGUUGCAGCCACUACUGAUGUGUUGCAUGACAUUGAUGAAGAGGAGAAGGAGCAUGUGCUGGGUCUCCAUAGCGAGCGAUUGGCCAUUGCAUAUGGGCUUCUUCGGACGUGCAAAGGAUCACCCAUUCGGGUUGUGAAGAAUCUUCGAGUGUGCAGCGACUGCCAUUCGGUGACGAAGAUAAUCUCAAGCAUUUAUGAGAGAGAGAUCAUCAUCAGGGACCGAGUUCGGUUCCACCACUUCAAAGAUGGGAAGUGUUCCUGUGCCGAUUACUGGUGAAACCUUUUUCAAUGUUUUGCUAUAGAAGUACACCUACAGCAGCAUGGUAUGAGAAAUGAUGUGAUCCGUGUUCAUGUGAUUCGAAGCUCACAUGUGCAAGUCCGAUGCGAGUGCUUGCAACAUCAAGAUGAUAAAUGUGCUAUCAUCUCCCAAGCAUGAGUACCUGGAAGCCAAUGCGAUUGAGUUUGAAUGUGAGAACCGUUUGGGCAUUACCCAAAUCGGAGUUUGCCUAUGAAUGCAACCAAUGAUAAUUUUGUUGAUUCUCACCCCACCCCGAAUCUUGUUUUGGGGUUGGUAUGUUGAAUUUGGAAAGUGAGGACUUCGCCAAGAAAGUAGUAGACGCUACGCAAACUAGUUUACAGGUUUGCAAUUUGAGACUCUUGAUCACUUUUGUGGUCUUAUCCUUAUCUUGAUUGCAUUUGGAUCUUUUGUUGGCUGCUGAUGUUCCGUCUGCAUGUUCUGGCUUGCAAAUUUAGUUUAAAUUUCUUUAGAACAACAACCCGUUUGGUAGAAGAGGCAACACCUCUAACUAUGCUCUCUGAGCAGUAGCUCCUUUGGAGCCCGCUUUCACGUUGACCCAAGGAUCUUAGCGUGGAACUACCAAAUCUGCCCGUUGAUUCCAAGAGUGAGAUGCAGUGUUUUUUGUUUUUGUUUGUUAAUCUCAUUUUAUUCUUAUACCUAUAAAGGCACUUAAUUUUAUGGAUUUGAUAUUGAAUUUGGUAUGCUUACAGGUUAAGUUGCAAGUUAUUAAUUUAAUGGAUUUGAUAUUGAAUUUGUUAUUAGCUAUCUAGAUGAUGAAUGUCAAUUACGAUUGAUUAUGGAAUUGUUUAAGUAUAGGACAAUCAGUUGCCCAUUUGAGAAUUUCUAUGCAGGUCAAAACAAACAAACGAUAUGUAGGAGCUUCAAAUUGGACCGUUCAGGUGAAGCGCCACAUCCUUAUUAUUUUAUUCUGUUUAGGCUUGAGUGUGCAACUUAGACGGUAUAGUUUAGAGUAUCUCAAAGUGAAUGGAAUCCACAGUAUACUGCAAGUGUGAAUGGGCCAUGGGCCAUGUUGUCAGCCCUAGGCUCUUUCGAUUUCAUUGAUGGGUAUGUAUGAAUUUUGUGAAUUUUCGUCAUGGGGAAUCGAUCGUUUGUUAUUAGAAGUGAGCCAUGUUGAUUCUGCUGCGAGUAUUGUCCACUAUUUUCAUAAAAUUUGUGUAAUUUCUGUUGCUUAUGUAGGUAUGAAAAGCCUGUGAAAGGAAGGAAAAUCAGGUGGGCCUCAUAGUCAAAUCAGCGGUAGUUGUCCACUCUCAAAUUGUUCUAUGGUUAUUUUCUCCAUCAACGAAAGGCAGAGAUGACAGAUUCCCUGAGAAAGGUUCAUAUGUAUGUAGAUUCUCAGGAAAAGGUUAUAGCUCAGUAUCAGUGGAAAUGGUCAGAAGGCAAGCUUUAUUUCUAGGUGACUCAGAGCUGCAGCAACUGCUUCACAUCUUCAGG